AUAUAAAUAUUAUGGUUAUCAGUCUUCACAGUUAAAAUAAGGCUUUUUUCUUUGGCAGGAGGAAGGCUAUACAUGCAAAUUCAGAUUCCUGAAGCAUUCCCACUAACUCUGCCCUUCUGUUCUGGCAGAACGCGGAAAAACUGUGGGCUGCCAAAAGGUGAAGACAACCACUUUAUCUGCAAGAGAAUUUUCAUUUAUGGGACUUCACUGGUGAUGUAGGUUUGAAGGGAAAAUGGGCUUAAAGCCUUCUUCAGGAGAGAUUUACUCACAGUUUUCUCCAGUGGUAAGUGUACUUGCUGUAUUCUGAUUUAUAAAUGUAUUGACUCUGUGCUUUUGCUUUAUGAGGUUGUCCCCUAUCUUCUACUCUGGAUAAUUUGUAUUGACAAGAAUUCUUGUGCUUAUUUUUCCUCCCUUACUGCAGAAUUAGGUGCCUGAAUCCUGCCUGGUGUUCCCUUCCCUGCAUGGAAAGAGGCAACACCUUUUGCACAUAACUUCCCUGGAGUUUUGAAGUGCCUUAUCUCUGGUUCAAGUACAUCUGUUGAGCAACAGUGGGAGUGUGUGAUUCUUGUUGACACAGGCUCUGCUCUACCUGACAGGAGGGGGGUUGAUUCUCCCUUGUAGUUUGUGGGUUUAGGAUCCAUAUGCUGUGUUCUCUUGCCUUUUAUUUGUUCACUGCAAUUGCUGGGGCUGUGCAGUGUCUGCAGGAGAGGAAGGGCACUUCCCACCAAUUUCCUCCCUGAAUCUUUCAGAUCUUUCCAGCACAAGUUUUGCUUUCUCCCUGGUUUUCUGCUCCACAGGUUCUGAUGUCUGAU
rnacentral:lncRNA from 1 species